GGUUGUGGCUCAGUGGUAGAGUGCUUGCCUCAAAUGUGCGAGGCACUGGGUUCAAUUCUCAGCACCG
rnacentral:tRNA from 1 species